rnacentral:rRNA from 1 species
GAUGAACGCUGGCGGCGUGCCUAAUACAUGCAAGUCGAGCGAACAGACGAGGAGCUUGCUCCUCUGACGUUAGCGGCGGACGGGUGAGUAACACGUGGAUAACCUACCUAUAAGACUGGGAUAACUUCGGGAAACCGGAGCUAAUACCGGAUAAUAUAUUGAACCGCAUGGUUCAAUAGUGAAAGACGGUUUUGCUGUCACUUAUAGAUGGAUCCGCGCCGCAUUAGCUAGUUGGUAAGGUAACGGCUUACCAAGGCAACGAUGCGUAGCCGACCUGAGAGGGUGAUCGGCCACACUGGAACUGAGACACGGUCCAGACGCCUACGGGAGGCAGCAGUAGGGAAUCGUCCGCAAUGGGCGAAAGCUUGACGGAGCAACGCCGCGUGAGUGAUGAAGGUCUUCGGAUCGUAAAACUCUGUUAUUAGGGAAGAACAAAUGUGUAAGUAACUAUGCACGUCUUGACGGUACCUAAUCAGAAAGCCACGGCUAACUACGUG